UCUCCCUUCAGACAUGAGCAAGAACCUGGAUUCCUCUAGUGGGGAGAGUAAGAGGCUCAAGUCACAAUCAAAUGGAUAGAGAGAGGAGUGCUGUGCAUGGUGGGUGGCAAGCGAUUUGUCCUCUGAGCAGGGGCAUAGUCCUCAUCUGGAAAGCUCAGCAAUGCUGCUAUUUUAGAAUGGCACCAGGCCUCCG
ensembl:lincRNA Gm42745 predicted gene 42745